rnacentral:lncRNA from 1 species
GGUAAACUUUUUGUCCUUAAGCAAGAAGUGAAUAACUGUCUCAAAUUAUCGAAGAUUACUACAAUAAUGUAAUUGAAUACCCAAAAUCUGUAAAUAAAAUUUAAGUAGGUAUAAGACAAUUUAUCCAGCUGUAAUCUUCAGUUUAUGUUUGCUCAUAAUAAGAAGCGUAGUGUUUAAUUAGAGAGAGAGAGAGUGAAAGAUACUGCUCACCUUCCGUAGUUGUUGUGGUUCUAAUUUAUAACAUGAAUUUUUUUAUAAAUAUUUCUCGUCUCUACAAAAAAACCUCAUAAUUGUCUGCCCACUUGACCACUAUAGCCUUGGGUGGUUAUAAUCACUUUUUGUAUAUUUGUUUCUUGUUUGCAUUUGAAGUUUAUAAAGUAAAAAAGGAGACACCAAAAAGGUCAACUUUUGAACUAUGAUUUGUUGCAUUUUUUAAUUGAAUAGUUUUUGUAGAAUUUGAAAGAUAAAUUAUAUAUUUGUGAAUUUUGGAUCAGAAAGGUCUUGAUCUGGGUCUUAGAGGGGUGAAAUCUUGAUUUUUUUGAUUCUGGGUUCUGUCAAGAAUAUUUGUUGAUGAAACUUCAUUAUAGAAAUGGAUCAAACAAUUGAAAGAACUUCAAAUGCACAAAGGGGUUUUCGAGUUCAAGCUCCACUGGUGAGUGCUAUGUUUACUUUUAAUUUUUUUUUGAUUAAUUGCUUUUUUUAAAUUCCCUUAUGAAAAUUCCUGGUUAAGGAGCAACCUUUGCAAGAAUAAUUAGUUUUGGGUUUUUUUUUUCCAUGAGUCUUGUUUGAAUUUAGUAUUUUGAGGCUUGGAUUAGCAUAAAAUUGCUGCUGAAUCUUC